CACUACUGCCAUGAAUUCGAUUCCGUUGAAGACUUCUUCUGCUCCCAGUUUGGCUUCAAUCCAACACUUCCGGGCAUGUCCCUUUCCUUAUGAUAAAAGAGAUUCCAUUUGAGUGUUAUAUUAACCUUUUCCAUGACUCGUGCAGGCUGAGCUCCGUAGAACUGAUACCACUGCCUCAAACCAUGGAUUAGAUCAACACAAUCCUCUAGGAUUUUAGGUCGAGGAACUAUAACUGUUUCACAAGAAAGACUUUCUUCAACCAUUUGGAGGGGAAUUUGGUAAUCUGCCUCAGCUAGCUCUUUCAAGAGUACAAUCAUCAGCUUCCUCUCUCCUUCUCCAAUCACUACAUCUAUCAUCCCUUGUGUCUGCUGACCAUUAUGCACCAACUGUUCCUCUAUUAUAUCCCCAUUAUGUUGUGUUGCUGUUUUAACUGUAUUGUCCUGCUCUGUGGUGCUAUUAAUGCUACAUGUGUCUCCCCCUCCCCUUCCGUGAUAAUUUGCAAAUGCAUUAGUUAUCCAUUCCUUUGUCAAAGAGUGAUGAUGAACCUUGUUAGCUUCCAUUGACUCUUGAAUUCACUGGUUGUAUCAUUACUAUCAUUUCUCCCAGAAGAUUCCUCUGGAUGCACCUCUUCUUUCUUUUCGGCCAGU